CGUGAGCGGCGGACGGGGGAGUAACGCGUGGGUAACCGUGCCUCAUACAGGGGGAUAACAGUUGGAAACGGCUGCUAAUACCGCAUAAGCGCACAGUACCGCAUGGUACGGUGUGAAAAACUCCGGUGGUAUGAGAUGGACCCGCGUCUGAUUAGGUAGUUGGUGGGGUAACGGCCUACCAAGCCGACGAUCAGUAGCCGACCUGAGAGGGUGACCGGCCACAUUGGGACUGAGACACGGUCCAA
rnacentral:rRNA from 1 species